rnacentral:rRNA from 1 species
UACGUAGGGGGCUAGCGUUGUCCGGAUUUAUUGGGCGUAAAGAGCGUGUAGGCGGCCAGGUAGGUCUGCUGUGAAAACUCGAGGCUCAACCUCGAGACGUCGGCGGAAACCAUCUGGCUAGAGUCCGGAAGAGGAGAGUGGAAUUCCCGGUGUAGUGGUGAAAUGCGUAGAUAUCGGGAGGAACACCAGUGGCGAAGGCGACUUCCUGGCCUGUUCUUGACGCUGAGGCGCGAAAGCUAGGGGAGCAAACGGG